rnacentral:rRNA from 1 species
AUACAGGGGGUGCGAGCGUUAAUCGGAAUUACUGGGCGUAAAGAGUACGUAGGCGGUUGCUUAAGUCAGAUGUGAAAGCCCCGGGCUCAACCUGGGAACUGCAUUUGAAACUGAGUGACUAGAGUUUAAGAGAGGGGAGUAGAAUUCCGGGUGUAGCGGUGAAAUGCGUAGAGAUCCGGAGGAGUACCAGUGGCGAAGGCGGCUCCCUGGCUUAAAACUGACGCUGAGGUACGAAAGCGUGGGUAGCAAACAGGAUUAGAAACCCCAGUAGUCC